rnacentral:rRNA from 1 species
UACGGAGGGCGCAAGCGUUGUUCGGAAUCACUGGGCGUAAAGCGCGUGUAGGCGGCUUGGUAAGUCGGGUGUGAAAGCCCGGGGCCUAACCCCGGAACUGCACUCGAAACUGCCUCGCUCGAGUCCCGGAGAGGAUGGUGGAAUUCCCGGUGUAGUGGUGAAAUACGUAGAUAUCGGGAGGAACACCAGCGGCGAAGGCGGCCAUCUGGACGGUGACUGACGCUGAGACGCGAAAGCGUGGGGAGCAAACAGG